rnacentral:rRNA from 1 species
GACGAACGCUGGCGGCGUGCCUAAUACAUGCAAGUCGAGCGAAGUUUUUCUGGUGCUUGCACUGGAAAAACUUAGCGGCGAACGGGUGAGUAACACGUAAAGAACCUGCCUCAUAGACUGGGACAACUAUUGGAAACGAUAGCUAAUACCGGAUAACAGCAUUAACUGCAUGGUUGAUGUUUAAAAGUUGGUUUUGCUAACACUAUGAGAUGGCUUUGCGGUGCAUUAGCUAGUUGGUGGGUAAAGGCCUACCAAGGCGACGAUGCAUAGCCGACCUGAGAGGGUGAUCGGCCACACUGGGACUGAGACACGGCCCAGACUCCUACGGGAGGCAGCAGUAGGGAAUCUUCCGCAAUGGGCGAAAGCCUGACGGAGCAACGCCGCGUGAGUGAAGAAGGAUUUCGGUUCGUAAAGCUCUGUUGUUAGGGAAGAAUGAUUGUGUAGUAACUAUACACAGUAGAGACGGUACCUAACCAGAAAGCCACGGCUAACUACGUGCCAGCAGCCGCGGUAAUACGUAGGUGGCAAGCGUUGUCCGGAAUUAUUGGGCGUAAAGCGCGCGCAGGUGGUUUAAUAAGUCUGAUGUGAAAGCCCACGGCUCAACCGUGGAGGGUCAUUGGAAACUGUUAAACUUGAGUGCAGGAGAGAAAAGUGGAAUUCCUAGUGUAGCGGUGAAAUGCGUAGAGAUUAGGAGGAACACCAGUGGCGAAGGCGGCUUUUUGGCCUGUAACUGACACUGAGGCGCGAAAGCGUGGGGAGCAAACAGG